CGACCGAAAAAAGUGAAAGAACAUUCUUUUUAUUUGGUCUUGUGUCGUGUGUCGUCAUGAACGUGAUACGUAUUUUCUUCCAGGAGUAUGGAAUGACAAAUUCAAAACUUUAGAGCAUAAAUCUCAAUGAGAAUUUAUUUUUAUCAGAAAGAAGGACCCCUUUUACGAACCAGGUCAUAUCAGCAAAGAAGAUACUUUGUAGUCGUCUCGACUCGACGUGAAGAUAUGAAUGUCACGAAGAGCUCCUGAUGAGGUCAUAUUGAAGAUCUGUCGUAUAUCUACUAUAUACUUAAUAAUUCACUUUGGAAAAAUUUUAGAUUUUGAAUUGUACUGUUGAUUAUACAGAACACCAAAUGAAGCACUAAAUACCUGCCAAUUUAUUACAGCAUUAGACCUUACCAGAACAUGAUUCACUCAUGAGUAUUGUCAGUACUUUAGGCGUGAUCCUACCUCCAGCUUACUCGGGACGUGUGCAAGAUUUUCCCCUCAUGCAUUAGUUUUAAACAUUAUACUCCUAACUUUUAACGUAAAUUGAAACGGUAAAAUCUAUGUUCAAAUAGUGUUGUUUCACCAACGAAAGUUAAAAUACACUAUUUUAUUAUUUUAUUGGAAAUAAUCUUUCUGUACCGUUUAGCAUGCACAUUAUUUAUUUUUUUACAU